rnacentral:rRNA from 1 species
GAGUGGCGGASGGGUGAGUAAUGUCUGGGGAUCUGCCCGAUAGAGGGGGAUAACCACUGGAAACGGUGGCUAAUACCGCAUAACGUCGCAAGACCAAAGAGGGGGACCUUCGGGCCUCUCACUAUCGGAUGAACCCAGAUGGGAUUAGCUAGUAGGCGGGGUAAUGGCCCACCUAGGCGACGAUCCCUAGCUGGUCUGAGAGGAUGACCAGCCACACUGGAACUGAGACACGGUCCAGACUCCUACGGGAGGCAGCAGUGGGGAAUAUUGCACAAUGGGCGCAAGCCUGAUGCACCCAUGCCGCGUGUAUGAAGAAGGCCUUCGGGUUGUAAAGUACUUUCAGCGGGGAGGAAGGCGGUGCGGUUAAUAACCGCGCCGAUUGACCUUACCCGCAAAAAAAGCACCGGCUAACUCCGUGCCAGCAGCCGCGGUAAUACGGAGGGUGCAAGCGUUAAUCGGAAUUACUGGGCGUAAAGCGCACGCAGGCGGUCUGUUAAGUCAGAUGUGAAAUCCCCGGGCUUAACCUGGGAACUGCAUUUGAAACUGGCAGGCUUGAGUCUUGUAGAGGGGGGUAGAAUUCCGGGUGUAGCGGUGAAAUGCGUAGAGAUCUGGAAGAAUACCGGUGGCGAAGGCGGCCCCCUGGACAAAGACUGACGCUCAGGUGCAAAAGCGUGGGGAGCAAACAGGAUUAUAUACCCUGGUAGUCCACGCCGUAAACGAUGUCCACUUGGAGGUUGUUCCCUUGAAGAGUGGCUUCCGGAGCUAACGCGUUAAGUCCACCGCCUGGGGAGUACGGCCGCAGGGUUAAAACUCAAAUGAAUUGACGGGGGCCCGCACAAGCGGUGGAGCAUGUGGUUUUAUUCUAUGCCACGCAAAAAACCUUACCUACU